rnacentral:rRNA from 1 species
UACGAAGGGGGCUAGCGUUGCUUGGAAUCACUGGGCGUAAAGCGCACGUAGGCGGAUUGCUAAGUCAGGGGUGAAAUCCUGGAGCUCAACUCCAGAACUGCCUUUGAUACUGGCGACCUUGAGUCCGGGAGAGGUGAGUGGAACUGCGAGUGUAGAGGUGAAAUUCGUAGAUAUUCGCAAGAACACCAGUGGCGAAGGCGGCUCACUGGCCCGGUACUGACGCUGAGGUGCGAAAGCGUGGGGAGCAAACAGG